GACGAACGCUGGCGGCGUGCUUAACACGUGCAAGUCGAACGCUGAAGCUCAGCUUUUGUUGGGUGGAUGAGUGGCGAACGGGUGAGUAACACGUGAGUAACCUGCCUCCUUCUUUGGGAUAACGCCCGGAAACGGGUGCUAAUACUGGAUAUUCACUGGUCUUCGCAUGGGGGUUGGUGGAAAGGGUUUUUCUGGUGGGGGAUGGGCUCGCGGCCUGUCAGCUUGUUGGUGGGGUGAUGGCCUACCAAGGCUUUGACGGGUAGCCGGCCUGAGAGGGUGACCGGUCACAUUGGGACUGAGAUACGGCCCAGACUCCUACGGGAGGCAGCAGUGGGGAAUAUUGCACAAUGGGCGCAAGCCUGAUGCAGCGACGCCGCGUGAGGGAUGGAGGCCUUCGGGUUGUGAACCUCUUUCGCUCAUGGUCAAGCCGCAACAAUGGUUGUGGUGAGGGUAGUGGGUAAAGAAGCGCCGGCUAACUACGUG
rnacentral:rRNA from 1 species